rnacentral:rRNA from 1 species
GCGCGAAAACUUUACAAUGCUGGCAACAACGAUAAGGGAACCUCGAGUGCCAGGUUACAAAUCUGGCUGUCGAGAUGCCUAAAAAGCAUUUCAUAGCAAGGGCCGGGCAAGACCGGUGCCAGCCGCCGCGGUAACACCGGCGGCUCGAGUGGUAACCGUUAUUAUUGGGUCUAAAGGGUCUGUAGCCGGCCGGAUAAGUCUCUUGAGAAAUCUGGCAGCUUAACUGUCAGGCUUUCAGGAGAUACUGUCUGGCUCGAGGCCGGGAGAGGUGAGAGGUACUUCAGGGGUAGGGGUGAAAUCUUGUAAUCCUUGAAGGAACACCAGUGGCGAAGGCGUCUCACCAGAACGGACCUGACGGCAAGGGACGAAAGCUAGGGGCACGAACCG